AGAGUUUGAUCCUGGCUCAGAACGUACGCUGGCGGCACGCCUAACACAUGCAAGUCGAACGAAGUAGCAAUACUUAGUGGCAGACGGGUGAGUAACAUGUAGGUAUCUGCCCUUUGGCCUGGAAUAACACGAGGAAACUUGUGCUAAUACCGGAUAAGUCUUUACGGAGAAAGCUUUAUGCACCAUUGGAUGAGCCUGCACUUGAUUAGUUUGUUGGUGGGGUAAUGGCCUACCAAGACUGUGAUCAAUAGCUGAUUUGAGAGGAUGAUCAGCCACAUUGGGACUGAGACACGGCCCAAACUCCUACGGGAGGCAGCAGUGGGGAAUCUUGCACAAUGGAGGAAACUCUGAUGCAGCGAUGCCGCGUGAGUGAAGAAGGCCUUUGGGUUGUAAAGCUCUUUCGUCGGGGAAGAAAAUGACUGUACCCGAAUAAGAAGGUCCGGCUAACUUCGUGCCAGCAGCCGCGGUAAUACGAAGGGACCUAGCGUAGUUCGGAAUUACUGGGCUUAAAGAGUUCGUAGGUGGUUGAAAAAGUUAGUGGUGAAAUCCCAGAGCUUAACUCUGGAACUGCCAUUAAAACUUUUCAGCUAGAGUAUGAUAGAGGAAAGCAGAAUUUCUAGUGUAGAGGUGAAAUUCGUAGAUAUUAGAAAGAAUACCAAUUGCGAAGGCAGCUUUCUGGAUCAUUACUGACACUGAGGAACGAAAGCAUGGGUAGCGAAGAGGAUUAGAUACCCUCGUAGUCCAUGCCGUAAACGAUGUGUGUUAGACGUUGGAAAUUUAUUUUCAGUGUCGCAGGGAAACCGAUAAACACACCGCCUGGGGAGUACGACCGCAAGGUUAAAACUCAAAUGAAUUGACGGGGACCCGCACAAGUAGUGGAGCAUGUGGUUUAAUUCGAAGAUACGCGCAGAACCUUACCAACACUUGACAUGUUCGUCGCGACUCUAAGAGAUUAGAGUUUUCGGUUCGGCCGGACGAAACACAGGUGCUGCAUGGCUGUCGUCAGCUCGUGUCGUGAGAUGUUGGGUUAAGUCCCGCAACGAGCGCAACCCUCACUUUUAGUUGCCAUCAUUAAGUUGGGCACUCUGAAAGAACUGCCAGUGAUAAGCUGGAGGAAGGUGGGGAUGACGUCAAGUCCUCAUGGCCCUUACGUGUUGGGCUACACACGUGCUACAAUGGUAUCUACAACAGGAAGCUAAACUGCGAGGUUGAGCAAAUCCCUAAAAGAUACCUCAGUUCGGAUUGCACUCUGCAACUCGAGUGCAUGAAGCUGGAAUUACUAGUAAUCGUGGAUCAGCGUGCCACGGUGAAUGCGUUCCCGGGUCUUGUACACACCGCCCGUCACACCAUGGGAGUUGGUUCUACCUUAAGGCAAGGUUUUAAACCCUUGACCACGGUAUAGUCAGCGACUGGGGUGAAGUCGUAACAAGGUAACC
rnacentral:rRNA from 2 species